rnacentral:rRNA from 1 species
UGGGGAAUAUUGGACAAUGGGCGAAAGCCUGAUCCAGCCAUGCCGCGUGUGUGAAGAAGGUCUUCGGAUUGUAAAGCACUUUAAGUUGGGAGGAAGGGCAGUAAGCGAAUACCUUGCUGUUUUGACGUUACCGACAGAAUAAGCACCGGCUAACUCUGUGCCAGCAGCCGCGGUAAUACAGAGGGUGCAAGCGUUAAUCGGAAUUACUGGGCGUAAAGCGCGCGUAGGUGGUUCGUUAAGUUGAAUGUGAAAGCCCCGGGCUCAACCUGGGAACUGCAUCCAAAACUGGCGAGCUAGAGUAGGGCAGAGGGUGGUGGAAUUUCCUGUGUAGCGUUGAAAUGCGUAGAUAUAGGAAGGAACACCAGUGGCGAAGGCGACCACCUGGGCUCAUACUGACACUGAGGUGCGAAAGCGUGGGGAGCAAACAGG